rnacentral:lncRNA from 1 species
AUAUACUCACUCGGUUCCUAUAUAACUGACGCUUUAGAGAAAAAAAUUAAUUUCUAAAUAAUUGACGUUUUCAUAUUUCUAGAAGGUUUUUUCUUUUAUUUUCCUAGAUUAUCCCUAAAACAUCUCAUCUUUCCAAGUGCAAGACUCCUAUUUAAUUUCAACCUUUUCUUUUACAAUACGUGUGUUCCCAAUUUAUUCUUUUUCUCAGAAUUCUAAACGUCACUCAAUAUGGC